UUGGGGGCGGGGCUCCGGGUACCAGGCCUCUUGUUGACUAUGAGGAACCUCUACACAGAGCCGGCUCGGAGAAAACGCUCACCCUCCAGUUUUGGUGCCCAAGCACCCAGGCCAGUCUGCACAGCCACUUUUCUCCAGCGGCUGGGAAGCUGUCAUUUGGUGAGGGGCGACUCGUUGGCCAAUACUCUUCAGGUGGCAGGCAGAGAGGUGCCAGCAAUUAUCCUCAACGUUAACCGUGUGUGGCCUGAAAACAAAGCAUGCGGUCGCCUGGGCUCACUUCCUUGUGCCUUUGGACAGAGAGGAAAAGGCAUACUGCAGCAGUUGGGAAACCUCGAGUUGUAGAGGGUCCAUAGGUCAGUGGGCUGGGGCUGGAGGCAAGGCAGCAGCUACAGCUACAGUCAGCAGGAGGGAAGAAAAGAGCCAGGAGAGUGUCCAGGAAGUGGCGUCUAUCCUUCUGCUCAUGCCCUUUGGCUACAGCAUGAUCACAUGGCCAUAUCGAGCUGCAAGGGAGGCUGGGAAAUGUGGUCUCCAGCUGAGGGGCUCUGCCUAGGUACAACUUAGGAAUUGCAUUAUUAAAAUGGAGAGAGGGCUUCCCUGGUGGUCCGGGGGUUAGGAAUCUGCUUUGCAAUGCAAGGGAUACUGGUUCCAUCCCUAGUCCAGGAAGAUCCCACAUGCCGAGGGGCAGCUGAACUUGUGUCACACAACUAAUGAGCCUGUGAGCUACAACUACUGAGCCCACAUGCCAGAACUCCUAAAGCCCAUGCACCCUAGAACCUGUGCUCUGCAACAAGAGAAACUACUGCAGUGGGAAGCCCUCACACCACAAGCAGAGUUGCCCUUGCUCACUGCCACUAGAAAAAGCCCACAUAGCAAUGAAGA